UGGAGGUUAUAUGGUUAUGCUUUACCCCUUCAAAGAUGAUGUUCUGUAAAUAUUAUGACUUUGGUAGUUUUUGUUGUUAUUGCAGUUGUCAGGAGAGCUUAUAAAACUGGCAAGUAGGCAGGGCUCGAUUUCUCUGAGUGUUCACAUCUUGUGUUCCUUCCCUUUGUCUUGGGACUGCCCUGAUACUUGCCUGCUAGGAGUGACUAUCAGUUAGACUAUAUGAUUAAAUUCAGUAAGCUACGGGAACUUAAUCCGGCUUCAAUAAUUGCACCCUGGUAGAAGACAUGGAGACAGGAAGAAAUAGUAUUGGCCUCUGUCUAGCUCCAAACAAAUUCAAGACUCAGACCAGUAAGAGAGCAACUGAACAACACCACUUCCGGGUAAAUAUAAUAGGUAUGUAAAUGUACAGUCAAAGCUAUUGAUUUUAAGCCUCAUCUGGUUAUUCAAUUAAAAUAGAAAACAAUACAAAUUAGUUAAGACUAAUUUUAUGAAUCAGUGACAGAAACAUCCAUCUGGGUUCACAUCAGAAAACAAAUGUACCUCGUUGUAUAUUCAUCUUGAUUUUAUAUCAACUAUUACAUGAACUUGUGCAGGAAUAGACCAUCAU